CUCUGUGACUGGCUUGCUUGAUAGUUAGGGUCUGAUUGCUGCCUGAGACACCAUAUCGGUACUCCUCAGAGUUGAUUCUGCAUGUGAAAAACGUAAAAAGAAAAAAAGUCAACUUCUUCAUGCAAUGUGAUCACAGGAUCUGGUUUGCCACUGAAAGGAAUCUUGAUGCUGACCACUUCACCUCGGAGAGCAUGAACUGCUCCCAUGCCUUCAAGAGUUUUAGGAUGGCAUCAACUGUUCCAAAAACAUUGCUGAGCUGGACUUUGUAUUUCCCAGCAUGAGUCUUACGUUGGACAUUCUUCAUGACAAGAUGAGUAUAGUGCUCAGUGUUUUCAAUAGUAAUGUUUUCUGAGUUUUGCAAAAGUUUCUGACCAUGGAACCAAGUCAUGGCAGGUACUGGACGACCAAUGUACAUAACAUGAAGCCGAAGUGUGGAACCCACAGCUCCAUAAUAUUUCUCUUUCAGUGGGUAACCAGGAUGGAACUGUGGUGUUGCUUGCAGGAGAAGCUUACUACUGGUUUCUACUUCUCCAACCUCAUUGGUGGCUAUGCAGGCACUGUCUCCAGACUGUCUAUAUUCAACCCAGUAUCCAAGAAUUUCUUUGCCACCAUCACAUUCAGGUUUCUCCCACUGUAGAGUGACACUAUCUUUGGAUAUUGAAAGAAUCUCAAGUUCUCCUGGUUGGCUUGGUUUAUCUGAAAUAUUUUAAAAUAAUGAAAAGGGAAUCAGCUUUACUGGUGAAAUAAAAGGACCAAACAU
rnacentral:antisense_RNA from 1 species